rnacentral:rRNA from 1 species
GACAGAGGGUGCAAACGUUGUUCGGAAUUACUGGCGUAAAGCGCGUGUAGGCUGCUUCGCAAGUCGGAUGUGAAAGCCCUGGGCUCAACCCAGGAAGUGCAUUCGAAACUGCAGAGCUGGAGUCCUGGAGAGGAAGGCGGAAUUCUCGGUGUAGAGGUGAAAUUCGUAGAUAUCGGGAGGAACACCAGUGGCGAAGGCGGCGACCUGGACGGACACUGACGCUGAGA